rnacentral:rRNA from 1 species
CCUACGGGAGUCAGCAGUGAGGAAUAUUGGUCAAUGGCCGAGAGUCUGAACCAGCCAAGUAGCGUGAAGGAUGACUGCCCUAUGGGUUGUAAACUUCUUUUAUAUGGGAAUAAAACGUUCCACGUGUGGGAUUUUGUAUGUACCAUAUGAAUAAGGAUCGGCUAACUCCGUGCCAGCAGCCGCGGUAAUACGGAGGAUCCGAGCGUUAUCCGGAUUUAUUGGGUUUAAGGGGAGCGUAGGUGGAUUGUUAAGUCAGUUGUGAAAGUUUGCGGCUCAACCGUAAAAUUGCAGUUGAAACUGGCAGGCUUGAGUACAGUAGAGGUGGGCGGAAUUCGUGGUGUAGCGGUGAAAUGCUUAGAUAUCACGAAGAACUCCGAUUGCGAAGGCAGCUCACUGGACUGCAACUGACACUGAUGCUCGAAAGUGUGGGUAUCAAACAGGAUUAGAUACCCCAGUAGUC